rnacentral:snoRNA from 8 species
UGGCUAUGAGGAUAAAAUUGUAUGAACGACUUAAACAUGAGUUAUAUCAUACGCUAUUCUGAGCCCUUU